GGGCUGUGGGUCGGGCCCUGAGCUGAGCACACAGCUGCAGGCUUGGGUUUUCCAGGAGUGCCCCGAGGGUGGGACGGGCGCUGUGGGGCUGGGUGCUGCCUCCAGGAGGCUUGUGAGAUCCCAGCAUGGCUAAAGGUGAGGCUGGAGAGGGACACAGCGGCUUUUAUAACCCCUAACACGCCAUGCAUGUAACUGAGGCGCCUGGAGCAUUCCCACCACCAUCAGCAGGAUUUUUAUCUGGCUGCAGGAGAGGGAGCUGGGCAAGGCCCUUGUCUUACCAAAUAAUCCUGCAAGAGGGGAGGAUGCAAGAAUUAAUUAAAUUAAGUCUUAUUUAAUACUUGGCUUAGAGUUAGCACGAUAAUAAAAGAGGAGAAAAUGUUUCCUUGUUGUAACACGGUACAGCGUUAAUUAAAAAAAAAGCCUGACAUGGUUGUGAUGCCAAGCUCCACGCAUAUCCAGCUGCUGUGCUCUACGUCUCCCAGAGGGCUGAGGCCGUCCUUUAACACAGGACUAACUCCGUGAGUGAAAGCAGCAGCGAGGGCUGAGGGGGGUCAAACGUGAGAGGAGGCACAGCUGCUCUGUGGUAGGGGGCAGGAGAAAAGAAAACACAACCCCGUGCUCCUUCAGGCCUCCUCCUGCAAGAAGUGGUGCUGCACCCACAGGGCUUUGUGUCAGAAAUGUCAGGAAAAAUCUUAGGUUAUAUCUGUCUUCAGACCGCCUUGAUAAAAUUGAAACAUGCCUUUAAAAUAUUCUGGUUUCAUUAAAUAUGCUUUUUUUUUUCUUUCUUUUUUUUUUUUUUUUUUUUUUCCCAUGGAGAGCUGCUGGCUCGGAAAGAAUUCAGGAAAUUCUUGUGAUAACAAUUCCAAAACAAAUUAGGCUUCACCAGCAGUCAUUUGAAGAUGACAUUUUGGGAAAUGAGUAAGAGACAGAGGUAUAAAGCUCACCAAAUUUCAGGAUUCUUCUGAAAUUUCACAUAGGAAAAUAAGUUACACAAGCUGAACUGGAGCAAAGCCAAAUAUUUUCAGUUUCUAUAAGCUGGAGUUUUGGAAAAUAAAAAACAACUCUACUUUUUAGGAUUUUUGAGGAAGAAUUUGGGUAUUUCUUUAACAUAUUUGAGGAUUUCUUUAACACAUAGGGAUGUUUUGCCACUGCGGUACUUCACAUCAUACCUGUGGAGGCAGCGUGCCAUGUGCCUUGUAACUACCAACACAUCGUGACAUGACAUAGGGGUUUAAACUAUUUUUUUUUUAUUAUUUUUUUUAAAUUAAGUGCAGUUUGUGCUUGAUACUGAUUAAACGGCCUUCCCUUUGUGUCUAGAUCAAAGUGUCUCUUGUUUGUGUUGUAAGGAAAAGGUCUGACAGCUUUGUCGGGCACCAACAGGAGACACUUUGAUCUAGACACAAAAGGAAGAUGUCUCAAAUGGUUCCAGAUAACAGCCGCUCUUUGUGAUUGUAAUGGAAAAUAAAGUGAGAAUAUUUCAACUAUUAUUCCUGUCAUAAUAUGACAUGAUACAAUAACUACUGCUGACAUGUCGUUUAAUAGGUAAAAAUAGCGUUGUAAGAAGGAAACUCCGUCUAAUAAGAAUAACUUUUUUUUUUUUUUAAUGGAAAACCCUUAAUUUGUGAAGCGGAAGUUCUCAUCAACACACGCGUUUGCCCUGAAGGCUGAAUCCUGUUGCGUGCACCUUUGGGAUGAAAAAUGCAAAGUUUGGCCAACGCCUUGGAGAGGGGGCUCUGGCUGGCUGGGAGUGCGGCCGCGCUGCUCUCACCUCCGUGCGGUGGGGACAGCGCGGGGACUUUGUCACCGCUGGGCCUCAGAGGAAGCUGCUGGUGAUCACGGAGGGUCACGAAGCCUCCCCGCUGCUGUCACGCUCCAGGACCGAAGCCCAGCAGCGGCUGGGGGAGCACGAGCCCCGUCCCCAGCAGCCCAGAGCUUGGCUGAGACCUCCAGCGCUGCGGCAGGCUGUCAGGCCAGCCCCAGCCCCAGCCCCAGCCCCAGGUGCUCUGGCGAGGAGCAGCACACAAAAGUUUAAUUGUUCCGAGUAUGCAAAUUGUCUCCUCAAACAGGCGUUUGGCAACCCUGGCGGUGUUCUGCACGCCGGGGGGUGUAGCCAGGAACUAAAAUAAGUCCGUCUGUAGGAGGAACGGGAGGUGGGAGAUCUUUUUAUAUUACUCCCCUUGCUAUAUUAAGAGCCACCGUUCCUUUCCUGGCUUGAGAAACAGCUCUUCCUGCUCUUCCCCGGCUUGCAGCAGUCUCCCCUGGUUAAACCACUCAGAAACUGGGAUUUGGAGACUGAAUUCGGGGCCCUCCUGCCUGGAAAGCUCCCGAGAGGCGAGGACUUCACUCACGGGAGAACUUUCCUUGGGAAGGAUGGAGGAGGAGGAUGAACGAUGAAGCCAAGAUCAGGAUGAGCACAGCACAGCCCUGCCUGUGAGCCCUGCAUGCCCUAGAGCUGCAGGUGUCCUUUCCUGUACCAGCUUCUUGAGGUCAUGGCUGAGCUCGCUGGCCCUGAAGACCAGAAACCUCACCUGGAGAACCCUCUGCAAUGAAGUGCACGAGCUCUGCAGGUCCUCCUUCCUCCUGAAGCUCCUUCUGGCUCCACUGGCAGCCUCGCCAGGUAGCCAGCAAUGUUUGGCACGGUGGCAGGAACCCUGGAGAUCACCUGUGGUGUUAAUGCCCCUGCUGUAAGGGGAGAGAAGAACCACAGCAUCUGGGAUUUCUGCUCGCCUUUCUCUCCGAUUAACGUAGCCCCACUGCCUUCACAUCUUCUGCCUACUUUGGUGUCCUCUCCGUUCUGCAGGGCGAUGUGUGGAGAGAGAAGGAACCUCUCCGGGUCCUGCCAAGCGGAGGCGGACGUGCGCAGCAUCGGCAGCGGGUGACUCACGGGCUUUUCAACCUCCUGCUCUUCCCGAGGCAGCUGCUGAAGCACUUGACCACUGGCGCCACUUUCUCGCCUCGGCUCAAGUAUUGAAACAAGUACAUCGUCAUUUGUGGCUUUUUGUUUUUGUGUACGUUUUUUUUUUCCCACCUCCAGAUGAACAAAAAAAGACAUGUUCCCCUUGCUGUGUGUCAGGCCUCCUGGGAUGCCUUAGCAUAUCCAAAAAUGCCGUAAAGCCAUCCAGAUGCUUCCCAGACGCAAGACACCGUGUUCACACUGCCUCGACUUUCGUACCACAGCCCCUGUUUUACCCGGGGUGCUCCCUCCCCUGUGCCACCGGGACACCGGGGAUUUGCGCUGUGUUGGGGGUUUAGGGCAGCCUCCCUGCUGCCCUCACGCUAAUCUUGGAGUCUGCUCACGGGGCCAGGGCAGUCGGCCCCGAUGUGUGUGUCCCUGGUGGCUUAACGUGAGUGAAGGGGACCUCAAAGCCCAGCAUUGCGUGGAGGAGACACUGCCACAGAGCUCGCCAGCGGGCUCUGGCUUGCAGCUGCUUUCAAUAAUUCCCAUUUCCUGUGUGGCAGCAUUCAUUUCCUUCCAGAUCUCACUUGCAACAUUUGCUCCCCCAGGUUUUGUCAGAGAUGACUUUCCUCACAGGAGAAGAGUCCAUUUUUUGUUUUAUUUGCCCUCUGCACAGUUGCUCUGAGUGAAGAACUUCAACUAUCCCACUGCCUUCAUCUUCUAUAGCCUCUUGGCACCUUCAAGGAGAGGACUAAAGGCCUUUUUUUUUUUUUUUUUACAAGCGAUUUCAUAAAGGCAUCACAUGGUCUUUAACAAGCCGGCACAACCCUCUGCAUGCACGCCAGCCUAGGACAUCCCCUUUUGCCCAAGGAGAGAUGGAGAACCUGCUGCCAACCCCUGCCCACCCGGCUUUGGGAUAACGUGUCGCAGGCUGCCAGGACCCGCUCCAUCCACCGCAGCUCCGACCUGGACACCUCUGGUAGCUGAAGGUUAAGUGGUUCAAGAUCCAGCUGGCUGGCUUUAUAAACCAACCCUGAACCAGGCUUGCAAAGGUUGCACCUGUAACUCUGGCGGCACAGCUGCCUCUUACCCAUGCCCUUGAGCCGCACUGGGCAGGAGGUGAGAGAGGCGCAGGGAAGCCAGCCUCUUCCUGCUGCAGUCAGGCUGCAGCCAGCCUGCUCUGCCACGGCUCGUUUCAAAGUGCCCGGUGCUUGACCGAGGAGCUGGGUGACAGCUCCUGGGCACGCUGCUCCCGCCCCUGAUCUCCCACGCGAUGCCCAUCUGGUUUUUAAGACACAGGUCUCAGCGUGCCAAUGAGUGGCCCUGAAAAUUACAAGGCAGAUAAGCAAGCAAGAAAGCACAGCUGUAACACUAUCCGAGGUGCUGGUUUUUUUGUCCUCCCAGUAAUGUUGAGAAGGCGACAUUUGAUCCGGCUGGAUACCACCAGUUCAGGGACACAACGAAUACUAGUGGCCUUUUUUGUUUUGUUUUGUUUUGUUUUUUUGAAACUACCGAUACCUGUGAAGAAAAGAUCCAAUCCUAGUGGUUGUCUCUGCCAAAAUAACCAUGCCAGCCGAUUCUAAACAGUUUAAUGCCACUCGGCUGGGGUGCAGGGGAGGCCCAGAGCUGAGCCAAAUAUUUGGAAGAUGAGCAGCAGCAUUCCAGUGCAUGCAUCCCUCUGCUUAUCCUGGAUACAGUGUAGCCAGGCUGAGGGCAUAAUCUGCAUAUUACGGAUGUUUGCAGAAGAUUAUCACUCACUAGCAUGUGAACUCUGAUUGAUUAUUUCCAGUUCUAGCAAUCAUUAACAACGACUAGUAGUCUAAGAACAACUCUUUAUUUCAAAGGGUAGGAUUUAUCCGGCUUAGCAUCGAGCCACGCUGCGUAGUUGUCACGUUUAUCUCUUCAAUCAAACGGCAGUACAUCCUUCUGCUUGUGCUAUUCAGCUCCGAAUUUCACCUUUCAUACUAAUAAAAUAUGUUGACACAUCGAGCAAUGUAACUGAUAGGUAAAGCAGAACAGGAUGAGUCACUGUUUUUAAACUUUUAUGUUAGCACGUGCUUUCUUUACGAGAGUAUAUCAAUCAAAAGACCAAGAGAUACAAAUUCAGAGAGAGGGAACAAGAGGAAAAGGUUGUGGAAAUACACAAGGUGCAAUAAACUGAAGCUGAACAGCACCAGAAUACAUGUAAUGAAAGUCCAGGAAAUAAACCAAAUGUAACUUUUUGACUAAACAUGAUUGCGACAGAGAAAUAAUUGUAAGUAAUACACGGCCUUCUUCAUCCUGAGAGCUUUCCCAAACCGUCUUUCUGUUCAUCUCCAGUGCUAACACUCCUAGGAUGCCACGGGGCUGUGUAACACUGGAAGAGCUUUGCCCUGUUGUGAGAUUUUGUGAUUCUGCUGCAGACAAGGUGCAGUCAGUCCGAACUGGGGAGGAAGCAGAAAGGUGGCUGGCUGGCUGAUGUCUUCCUCACUACAGGUACGCUGAUGAUUGCACACCUUUGGCCCAAAAGGCACCGUUCAUUUUUGCACAUAUUCUCCUAAAGUCCUCUUUUAGCUGCAGCAUCUUCCCAAGAUAGCCUGGCGCUGGUCUCAUUGCCCAGGUGUCCGUUUGUUCUCCUGACCUGGUUUUGGCAGAGCUGAUCCUCAGGUGUGUAAUGAGUCUCGUCUAAAGCAGUGUAUCUAGCAAAGCGUCUGAAGGUAAAAAAUAGUAUUGUGUGGGCUCCUGGUAGGCUCUCAAAUUAGGCCCGUGAUGUCUUGGAUGACUGCUGUGGGGGAUUAUAAGGUAAUUUUGUGUGCAAGGACAUGACAGAAUUAGGGGUGCUCUGGUCAUUCCAGAAUUGCUUCCAUUUCCUCCUGAGAUCGAUGCAGCAAUAUCAUCCCGACAGACGAGUGGCCUGGCUCUGUGCUUUCUCACAAGGACAUCUCACUGCCUGCAGCUCUUUGUUGAUCGAGCCGCUCGAUGAAACUUUAUCUAAAUAUUCCAAAUAUCCAAGCACUUGCUCAUCGUUUAAAAAUUGCCUGUGACAGGAAGGCUGUGAAGCCUGUGGUCCGACAACAUCCCUUUCCUGUGGUGCAAGGCCAAGUGUACAGAGGGAAGCGAAAUUAUCAAAAUCUCUCGGCUGCUGCCCUUCCUUUGAGCUGCCCAAUGCCACGUCUCACCCAAGGCUCCUCAGAAGAUGACUCACAGAUUUGUGGUGUGAAAGUCCUCUCCCCCAAAGAGGAGAAUUCCCAUUCACCAGUUCUGAGCCCUGACAGCGCGCCCCAGUUAAAUCGCUGCCCGAGGGGAAGGGGCUCGGGCACGUGUGUGGGAACGAGCGCCUUUGCCACCAGAGAUAACGUCAUGCCAGAAACGCUCCGAAUUUCAGCAGCGCAACCCAGACAGGCGAGGCAGAAGCCCACGUAAUUGGGUCUAAUACUGCUAUGGAAACUAUGCCGAGGGCUAAAAAUAUGCCUUAAAAAGCAGAGCCUUUUCUCGUGCGUUCUUCCACACUGUGUAUGAAAAGAUGGAGGGUUGUGAAGCAGGAAAGGAUGACGUGAAGAUGCUCUGUGACAGCAGUGAGCUCUAGAGAAGCACAAUUCUCCUGCUUUCACAAAUGUUUCAAAUGCACCGAAAUUUACUUGGGAAAAUUUUGGAUGUUUGUCUUCUCGUGAGUUAGGCUGAACACACAUGCAUUUAACCACUAAACUGGCUACUUGCAAAAACUGCUGCUUAAACCAGGCUGCUUUAUAGCCUUGAUUAUUCCUUCCAUCCUUCUUUUUUUUUUUUUUUGCUUUUUAAUCUCUGAAGCCAGUUUCCCAAUCCCGAAGUCCCCACUGGCCUACUGUUGUGGAACUGUUCAAAAGUCCUUGUCUAAACAUUAAACACCCUUGGAGCGUGGUGGUACACGGUGUGCAGCCAUGUGGUGCGGUUGCUGGUUUCGGCUUGCUAGCACAAGGUUGGUAGCUGAGGACCAGGAGCAGGAGGAGAAGGUCCAGGUUUGCUCCCUCUCCCCGGCCUGCUCUGCUAUCCAGAACUGAGCUGCAGUUUGGCACGGCUCGCCCGAGUUAAGCAUUAAGUAUAACUGUGGGUUGAAUGCAUGGGGUUUGUAACAUUAUGGUAGGUGUAUCAUAGGGCAAACAGGAUGCAGGGUGUUGGAGGCAUUGGGAUAUUUCUCUUGUAGGUAAGCUGUUGGCCUCUGAAGGUGAAUCCUCUGACGUGGAAAGAGUUUUGCACCUGAAGAGUGCUAUAACCAGUAAUGUGCGUGAGGAAUUCAGCUGCUGUCUCGCUGGUGAUGCUGAAAGGAAACAGAUUAACAAACAGAGUAAUGGCAAAAAAAAUAAAAUGUGGCCAACAGGCUGAACAAUUAAAAACAUAAUUCUGAAAUUGCAAUGCAAUUUGUCCGUGUAGCUGCGAGGAGGUUGUGUCCCCAGUUCCUCUGGUAGAGAUACAGCUGACACAUGGAUGUGGGAGUAAAGAAAUAAGGCUACCUGUCAGUCACGUUUUA